CUGUAUUUGCUUGUACACUACACCUCCGGACGGGCGUCCGCAGAGCCCUGUGACAGCUCGUGCGUUACCAUCCCCUGUAGCAGCGGAGCCAACGUGGUGGAUCAGUGUAAUUCCAAGAUUCCCCAGGUUUAUUUGGGUGUUGCUGGUAGCAGCCAGGCCGUGCGGUGUUCGUGAACCGCCAUGCAGGAACGUGAUCUGCUGGGAUCGGUUCAGCUCCCACCUGGUGACCCAGGAGACAAGGUGUGUAAGGGGCUGGUGGCAAAGGGAUUUCUCAUAAUUCCUGUUCUUUCCACUUUCUUUUCUUAAGUCUCUUGGCUUGAACCCCCAGGGGAGUGGCCGAAGGAUGUCCCUGCCUGUAUCCAGUCAUUUCAGUGCAUUGGUGCUGGGGAGGCACCCUGCAGCUGCUGCCUGAAGUGCUGAGUCUUUGCAGAAGCGGCAGCUAAAGAGCAGGUCAGAGUUGCACUGGCCUUUCCUUUGGCCAAGGAAUCAGCUUUAGGAUGCACUGGAUGCCCUGGUUUAAGGAUGCAAGUACUGUAUCUGGAAGGUGUCCUGGUAGCUGAAUGUCUGUCCUCUACCUGCACCCCAUGUUUUUUAUUAUAUCGAAAAAAUAUAUCGACAUACAUAUAUCUUUUGGAUCUACCAUGCUUCUCGUGGCAUUAUCCAUCUGCUGCCUGUGGUGCAGAUAAGGAGAGCAGUGGAUGGAGCAACCGACAGUGGGAAAAUCCUGCUGGGCUCUCAUCAGUUUUGAGGAGGAAUUUUUCAGUGGAAAUCUUUUGUCUGGAAAAUGCGUGCCCAUUGUAAUGGAAACGGUUCAUAGGAAGAGGUUUGUUUGGACAAAUUUUCUGUUAAGUGUUUCUGGGGGAGGAAAAACAGGUUGGAAAUGUUCCAAACCCUCCCACUUCAGCAAUUGCAAAAUAACAGUAUUUGAACCUCCCUUUAGAA